GACGAACGCUGGCGGCGUGCUUAACACAUGCAAGUCGAACGGAAAGGCCCUGCUUUUGUGGGGUUCUCGAGUGGCGAACGGGUGAGUAACACGUGAGUAACCUGCCCUUGACUUUGGGAUAACUUCAGGAAACUGGGGCUAAUACCGGAUAGGAUCUCCUGCUGCAUGGUGGGGGUUGGAACGUUUCGGCGGUUGGGGAUGGACUCGCGGCUUAUCGGCUUGUUGGUGGGGUAGUGGCUUACCAAGGCUUUGACGGGUAGCCGGCCUGAGAGGGUGACCGGCCACAUUGGGACUGAGAUACGGCCCAGACUCCUACGGGAGGCAGCAGUGGGGAAUAUUGCACAAUGGGCGGAAGCCUGAUGCAGAAACGCCGCGUGCGGGAUGACGGCCUUCGGGUUGUAAACCGCUUUCGCCUGUGACGAAGCGUGAGUGACGGUAAUGGGUAAAGAAGCACCGGCUAACUACGUG
rnacentral:rRNA from 1 species